AUGGCCGCCGCCGCCAGGUCGAUGCUCCGCUCGUCCGCUUCUCUCCUCCGCGCUGCUCCGGCGAGGGCCUCUUCCUCUGCGGCGCGGCCGUCCCUUCGCCGCGCGUUGGGCGCGCCCCCUCGCCUCCUCAGGUCGCCCGUCGAGGCGAGCUUCUGCGUGGAGUCCCUGCUGCCGCUGCACAGCGCCACCGCCGCGGCGCGGAUGACGUCUAUGCUCGCCGUGCCUGGCCGAGGCCUCGGGUGGCUCACGGAAGGGAAAGACGAAACUAGAUGA
rnacentral:rRNA from 1 species